UUAGAGGAAGUAAAAGUCGUAACAAGGUCUCCGUAGGUGAACCUGCGGAGGGAUCAUUACACAAAUAUGAAGGCGGGCUGGAACCUCUCGGGGUUACAGCCUUGCUGAAUUAUUCACCCUUGUCUUUUGCGUACUUCUUGUUUCCUUGGUGGGUUCGCCCACCACUAGGACAAACAUAAACCUUUUGUAAUUGCAAUCAGCGUCAGUAACAAAUUAAUAAUUACAACUUUCAACAACGGAUCUCUUGGUUCUGGCAUCGAUGAAGAACGCAGCGAAAUGCGAUAAGUAGUGUGAAUUGCAGAAUUCAGUGAAUCAUCGAAUCUUUGAACGCACAUUGCGCCCUUUGGUAUUCCAAAGGGCAUGCCUGUUCGAGCGUCAUUUGUACCCUCAAGCUUUGCUUGGUGUUGGGCGUCUUGUCUCUAGCUUUGCUGGAGACUCGCCUUAAAGUAAUUGGCAGCCGGCCUACUGGUUUCGGAGCGCAGCACAAGUCGCACUCUCUAUCAGCAAAGGUCUAGCAUCCAUUAAGCCUUUUUUUCAACUUUUGACCUCGGAUCAGGUAGGGAUACCCGCUGAACUUAAGCAUAUCAUAGCCCGGAGGAA
rnacentral:misc_RNA from 1 species